AAAUUGAAGAGUUUGAUCAUGGCUCAGAUUGAACGCUGGCGGCAGGCUUAACACAUGCAAGUCGAACGGUAACAGGAAGCAGCUUGCUGCUUUG
rnacentral:rRNA from 2 species